rnacentral:rRNA from 1 species
AGUGAACGCUGGCGGUAGGCCUAACACAUGCAAGUCGAACGGCAGCACAGUAAGAGCUUGCUCUUACGGGUGGCGAGUGGCGGACGGGUGAGGAAUACAUCGGAAUCUACUUUUUCGUGGGGGAUAACGUAGGGAAACUUACGCUAAUACCGCAUACGACCUACGGGUGAAGGCAGGGGAUCUUCGGACCUUGCGCGAUUGAAUGAGCCGAUGUCGGAUUAGCUAGUUGGCGGGGUAAAGGCCCACCAAGGCGACGAUCCGUAGCUGGUCUGAGAGGAUGAUCAGCCACACUGGAACUGAGACACGGUCCAGACUCCUACGGGAGGCAGCAGUGGGGAAUAUUGGACAAUGGGGGCAAGCCUGAUCCAGCCAUACCGCGUGGGUGAAGAAGGCCUUCGGGUUGUAAAGCCCUUUUGUUGGGAAAGAAAAGCAGCAGGUUAAUACCCCGCUGUUCUGACGGUACCCAAAGAAUAAGCACCGGCUAACUUCGUG